rnacentral:rRNA from 1 species
GUGUCAGCCGCCGCGGUAAUACGGAGGGUGCAAGCGUUAAUCGGAAUUACUGGGCGUAAAGCGCACGCAGGCGGUCUGUCAAGUCGGAUGUGAAAUCCCCGGGCUCAACCUGGGAACUGCAUUCGAAACUGGCAGGCUAGAGUCUUGUAGAGGGGGGUAGAAUUCCAGGUGUAGCGGUGAAAUGCGUAGAGAUCUGGAGGAAUACCGGUGGCGAAGGCGGCCCCCUGGACAAAGACUGACGCUCAGGUGCGAAAGCGUGGGGAGCAAACAGGAUUAGAUACCCCCGUAGUCC